rnacentral:rRNA from 1 species
GGACUACUGGGGUAUCUAAUCCCGUUUGCUCCCCUGGCUUUCGCGCCUCAGCGUCAGAAGAGGUCCAGCCGCUCGCUUUCGCCACCGGCGUUCCUUCCUAUAUCAACGCAUUUCACCGCUCCACAGGAAGUUCCAGCGGCCCCUACCUCGCUCUAGCCAAUCCGUAUCCAAGGCCCGUUUCCGGUUAAGCCGAAAAAUUUCACCCCGGACGUGAUUGGCCGCCUACGCGCCCUUUAAGCCCAGUGAAUCCGAACAACGUUCGCACGGUUCGUCUUACCGCGGCGGCUGGCAC